rnacentral:rRNA from 1 species
UAAGCCUGUGAAGGUGGCCUGUGAGGGUUGCUGGAGGUAUCAGAAGUGCGAAUGCUGACAUAAGUAACGAUAAAGCGGGUGAAAAGCCCGCUCGCCGGAAGACCAAGGGUUCCUGUCCAACGUUAAUCGGGGCAGGGUGAGUCGACCCCUAAGGCGAGGCCGAAAGGCGUAGUCGAUGGGAAACGGGUUAAUAUUCCCGUACUUGGUGUUACUGCGAAGGGGGGACGGAGAAGGCUAUGUUGGCCGGGCGACGGUUGUCCCGGUUUAAGCGUGUAGGUGUGUGUUCCAGGUAAAUCCGGUUCACUUUAACACUGAGGCGUGACGACGAGGCACUACGGUGCUGAAGCAACAAAUGCCCUGCUUCCAGGAAAAGCCUCUAAGCAUCAGGUAACAUCAAAUCGUACCCCAAACCGACACAGGUGGUCAGGUAGAGAAUACCAAGGCGCUUGAGAGAACUCGGGUGAAGGAACUAGGCAAAAUGGUGCCGUAACUUCGGGAGAAGGCACGCUGACACGUAGGUGAAGUGAUUUACUCACGGAGCUGAAGUCAGUCGAAGAUACCAGCUGGCUGCAACUGUUUAUUAAAAACACAGCACUGUGCAAACACGAAAGUGGACGUAUACGGUGUGACGCCUGCCCGGUGCCGGAAGGUUAAUUGAUGGGGUCAGCGCAAGCGAAGCUCCUGAUCGAAGCCCCGGUAAACGGCGGCCGUAACUAUAACGGUCCUAAGGUAGCGAAAUUCCUUGUCGGGUAAGUUCCGACCUGCACGAAUGGCGUAAUGAUGGCCAGGCUGUCUCCACCCGAGACUCAGUGAAAUUGAACUCGCUGUGAAGAUGCAGUGUACCCGCGGCAAGACGGAAAGACCCCGUGAACCUUUACUAUAGCUUGACACUGAACAUUGAGCCUUGAUGUGUAGGAUAGGUGGGAGGCUUUGAAGUGUGGACGCCAGUCUGCAUGGAGCCGACCUUGAAAUACCACCCUUUAAUGUUUGAUGUUCUAACGUGGACCCGUAAUCCGGGUUGCGGACAGUGUCUGGUGGGUAGUUUGACUGGGGCGGUCUCCUCCUAAAGAGUAACGGAGGAGCACGAAGGUUGGCUAAUCCUGGUCGGACAUCAGGAGGUUAGUGCAAUGGCAUAAGCCAGCUUGACUGCGAGCGUGACGGCGCGAGCAGGUGCGAAAGCAGGUCAUAGUGAUCCGGUGGUUCUGAAUGGAAGGGCCAUCGCUCAACGGAUAAAAGGUACUCCGGGGAUAACAGGCUGAUACCGCCCAAGAGUUCAUAUCGACGGCGGUGUUUGGCACCUCGAUGUCGGCUCAUCACAUCCUGGGGCUGAAGUAGGUCCCAAGGGUAUGGCUGUUCGCCAUUUAAAGUGGUACGCGAGCUGGGUUUAGAACGUCGUGAGACAGUUCGGUCCCUAUCUGCCGUGGGCGCUGGAGAACUGAGGGGGGCUGCUCCUAGUACGAGAGGACCGGAGUGGACGCAUCACUGGUGUUCGGGUUGUCAUGCCAAUGGCACUGCCCGGUAGCUAAAUGCGGAAGAGAUAAGUGCUGAAAGCAUCUAAGCACGAAACUUGCCCCGAGAUGAGUUCUCCCUGAGACUUAGAGUCUCCUGAAGGAACGUUGAAGACGACGACGUUGAUAGGCCGGGUGUGUAAGCGCAGCGAUGCGUUGAGCUAACCGGUACUAAUGAACCGUGAGGCUUAACCUUACAACGCCGAAG